GAGCAGAUGGGGCACAAAAUUUGAAGGAUUUUUCAUAGAUCUUAAACAAGAUACCCUGUGCCUGAAAACCAGUCACCCAUACUAUCAUCAAAUUCAAGGCCAGCUACACAUAUGUAACAAAACAUUCUGCGACUUAAUUGUGUGGACAAGAGUAGACUGCAUUGUGAUUAGAAUAGUAAAAGACAUUGAAUGGACAGCAAAUGUUCCAAAGCUGAUAGAUUUCUACAUUAACAUUUUCAUUCCAGCACUGAUGGAAAACUGAGUUCUGGUUUGAACUUCUUGACACUUAGUUUUGUACCUCUAGAAUUUUCUAACAAUGGAAAAUGGGUAAUCAUGUUAAAUGUGUUGAAUGUUCCUAAGUCUCAUAAAUGUAUGACAUGAUAUGUCACAAUCCAUCAUAAAACUUCUGGCUUAUAAGACUAUUUUAAAUAGCAAUGAUGAUUAAUAAAAUCUAUGUACUACAUAAAAAAAGAAUAUCAAAAUUUAGAAUCAUUUUAUUAAUGAAUUGAAGAUGUUAUUCUCAAAGUGAAAAUGUAACAUUUUUGUCUUUCUUAAUAGAUAAAUUGUUGAAAACAUGAA